AAGGAAUUUAAAUGCACUUGGCCCACCAACAAAAGAUUCCAAUACAUGGAGGUCUGGAUUGACUGAAAAUGUUACAUGAAGCGAAAAUUAUCGUAUAACAAAAAA